rnacentral:lncRNA from 1 species
GCUUCAUCUCAGAGCCAAGGCUGUGUCAUCACUGUCAAAUGCUCCUUCAGGCCACUAAAUCACCACAGUAAGAUCAUAGCUUCAGGACCUAAGUAGCUCCUGGGGAUGGGAAAGAGAUGACUGACUGAGGUGGUUGAUGGGAUUCUUACAGGUCUCACUCUGUCACCCCCAACUGGAGUGCAGUGGUGCGAUCUCCGUUCACUGCAACCUCCACCUCCCAGGCUCAAGUGAUUCUCCUGCCUCAGCCUCCUGAGUAGCUGGGAUUACAGGAGGAAGCAUUCCCAUGUGAAAGAUGAGCUCCCUAUAAAAGCAACGCUCUUAUCAUCGAGAACAGAAAGUUGAAGCCAAGAGAGAGCUCCACAAGCUGACCUUGUUAAACUAACCCUUAUCUUCUUAGUCGCUUCUUUACCCAAUUAACUACCCUAGCCGAAGCCCCUUUGCCUUAUUACAUUUUGCAACAGUGUUCGUUGUCCAAUUCAGUAUACAAGUGAGUGACUCUGGAUGCUUUUUGGGGUCUUCGUUUCCUUAUGAGGGCUUCUGUGCCAUGUAAAACUUGUAUUAAAUAAAUUUGUAUGCUUUUCUCCUGUUAAUCUGU